GGCCUCGUAGCUCAGCUGGUAGAGCAUGCGCGUACAAAGCGNGCGUAGGCGGUGUCCAUGCGUGGGUUCGAAUCCCACCGAGGCUA
rnacentral:tRNA from 1 species